UUGGUGGGUCGGUGCCAAUUAUUUUGAUCUGGUAGCGUUAUCUUGGGCUUGCAUCAGGAACACCUCGGUGCCCAUUUAUUUGGGUUGCAAUGGGCCUAAAUUUUUCUCCCACUCUUAGCCUGUUUUCAUCAUAAAAUAUGUACGCUGCAAGAAUGAGGGUACGGUUUAUAACCUACAAUUAAAAAGGUGUGCAAUUGUGCAGUUCAUAGUGCCCACCAUAUGCCCGAAUUCCCGCCAUAGAAAAACCCCGAUUAGAACAUUUCCCUCGAAUUCCCGCCAUGUUUUAUGCCUUUAUUCUUCGUUGCCAAUGAAGGGGACACUGAGUCCGCUUUUUAACUUUCCAACUCCUUCCCUCUUGUCUCUCAUUUUAUCGAUUAAUCGGAAAAAAUGACACUGUCACGUCGGCAGAGCACCGGCAGAUCACCGCUCGUUAAUUAACGGUGCCAGAUUACUUCAUUCUUCUCUAAACCAACUCUCCUUCCCCAUCUCCUACUCUCGCCAAACAGACUUCUAAACUUAACCCUAACCCUAAGCCUAACCGGAACACAAGUUCCAGCCCGACCAUUCCGUCCUCAGUCCAAUCCAAGCCCAAAAUGUCCCUCUUAGUUACUGGCAAAACACCCUUCCAGACUUCCUUGACGCCGGCGGACAAAUCGUACGUCAAGGAGGUGGUCGAGAAGAGGAUUAGGGUUUACUGGCCGUUGGAUAAGGCGCUGUACGAAGGUGUGGUGAAGUCUUUUAAUAAGUAUCCGGGUAAGCAUUUGCUUCAGUAUGAUGGUGCUGAGGAGGAGUUGGAUUUGGGAAAGGAGAAGAUUGAGUGGGUUAAAGAAAGCAGGGGAACGCUUAAGAGGGAACGCUUAAGAGGCUAAGCCCAGGGGAUUCUUCGGUUUUUAAGAAGGUGAUGAUUGAUGAUGGGGAUGAGGAUGUGACAGAGAGUGUGGUUGAAAAGGGUAAUGCUGAUGAUGAUGAUUCUGUGUGCAGUGCUUUGUGUUGUCUGUUGGCACUGACCUGCUCUGUCUUGAAAUAAAUCUUUUGCUAUGAUUAAGUCAAGAUUGCUUUAAAGUUGAUAUGUUUAAAAGCACUUUUGAUUCGAGUUUCUUUGUCACAUCCUGCCUGACAUGUACAGAGCUUCUUCCGGUACUGGACUCCAUAUGUCAAGAAGUUCCUGGGAGAACUCUCACAAGCUGAAUCUGAAAAGGAGACAUCUUUAAGAAACAUUCUUCAGAGGUUAAUUGGAUGAUUCUGUGAGGAUCACAGUCAGUGGUGGCAACUAAUCUUAACAACAGCAGUUAUGUUUGUCCACUUCUAUGCAAACUGCGCUGAAGCUUGGUUUCGUGUUUCUUUAUCAUGUAAUCAAUUAGUUUCUCUUACCAUUGCUUAGUUUAAGCUUUUUUCAUUCCCUGAUUACAGUGCAAACAUCUAUACUUGCAUUUCUAGUCUAUAACUUCAGUUUAGAACCAUGACUGCUUGGUAGUUACAGAAAUUCCUAAAGACUAAUGGUGAAAAUAAAAAAUUUAAUGUGAUAUGGGUUGAUCUACUUUGCAUAUCUGAACUCGUGGUCUCCCAUUGCUGAACUGGAUGUAUUGAUCAGUCCAGAAAUUGCAUGUGAUUUUAAUGAAUGGCCAAAUGUUGUCCUCUUGUCUUGUGUUCUUCAUAUUCAAAUGAAGUCCCAUGCUUUUCUGCAAAAUGUUUAGGGUAGACUGUUCUCAGAAGUGAUUGUUAAGGCAAGAGUGCAUUUUUCUCCAAUUACAUCAUUAUUCGGGGAUCUGGUCAUGCAAGUUUGAUCCUUCUUACCGGUCCUAAUAUGGGUGGAAAGUCAACUCUUCUGCAAGUUUGCUUGGCCGUGAUUUUGGCUCAGGUAAAAUUUUGGUUCCUGCUAAUGGUAGAUUAUCUUGUUGUGUUCAAUGGCCUUCAUGCGGGGUUCUCCCAAGGUAGGAGCCGAUGCCUCUGCAGAACAUUUUGAACUAUCUCCUGUUGACCGAAUCUUUAAAAUGUUGAUUUUAAAUCUUUACUUUAUGAACAUAUUAAUGAUGGUUAAUGCAGUCCUCAGCAACUUGACAUUCACUCAUGGCAUUAGAUGAACUUGGACGUGGAACAUCAACUUCUGAUGGAUAAGCCAUUGCGGAAUCAGUUUGUGAACAUUUUGUACACAACGGCGCGGUGUCGAGGAAUGCUUUCAACACGCUACCACUGUUUAGCUGUGACUGCCUAAACAAUUCCAAAGGUAAAAUCAUUUUGAAGUCUGUACGCGGAAAACACGAAUAGCAAUAUGAAGACAAAUUGCUAACACAAAGUUGUCUUGAUAAGAUGGUAGCUUG